GAUGAACGCUGGCGGCGUGCCUUACACAUGCAAGUCGAGCGAUUCUCUUCGGAGAAGAGCGGCGGACGGGUGAGUAACGCGUGGGUAACCUGCCCUGUACACACGGAUAACAUACCGAAAGGUAUGCUAAUACGGGAUAAUAUGCUUUAGUCGCAUGGCUGAAGUAUCAAAGCUCCGGCGGUACAGGAUGGACCCGCGUCUGAUUAGCUAGUUGGUAAGGUAAUGGCUUACCAAGGCGACGAUCAGUAGCCGACCUGAGAGGGUGAUCGGCCACAUUGGAACGAGGAAUCGGUCCAAGCUCCUACGUGAGGCAGCAGUGUAGAAUAUUGCACAAUGGGCGAAAGCCUGAUGCAGCAACGCCGCGUCAGCGAUGAAGGCCUUCGGGUCGGAAAGCUCUGUCCUCAAGGAAGAUAAUGACGGUACUUGAGGAGGAAGCCCCGGCUAACUACGUGCCAGCCGCCGCGGUAA
rnacentral:rRNA from 1 species